rnacentral:rRNA from 1 species
AAAGUUUGAUCCUGGCUCACUUUGAACGCUGGCGGUAUGCUUAACAUAUGCAAGUCGAACGGUAACAGGCCUUCGGGCGCUGACGAGUGGCGGACGGGUGAGUAACGCGUAGGAAUCUGCCUCAUAGUGGGGGACAACGUGGGGAAACUCACGCUAAUACCGCAUACGCCCUACGGGGGAAAGCGGGGGAUCUUCGGACCUCGCGCUAUGAGAUGAGCCUGCGUUAGAUUAGCUAGUUGGUAGGGUAAAGGCCUACCAAGGCGACGAUCUAUAGCUGGUCUGAGAGGACGAUCAGCCACACUGGGACUGAGACACGGCCCAGACUCCUACGGGAGGCAGCAGUGGGGAAUAUUGGACAAUGGGCGCAAGCCUGAUCCAGCGAUACCGCGUGUGUGAAGAAGGCCCUAGGGUUGWAAAGCACUUUCAAUUGGGAGGAAAACCUGCCGGUCAAUACCCGGUAGCUUGACAUUACCUUUAGAAGAAGCACCGGCUAACUCCGUGCCAGCAGCCGCGGUAAUACGGAGGGUGCAAGCGUUAAUCGGAAUUACUGGGCGUAAAGCGUGCGUAGGCGGUUCGUUAAGUCAGAUGUGAAAGCCCCGGGCUUAACCUGGGAACUGCAUUUGAAACUGGCGGACUAGAGUUGAGUAGAGGGGAGUGGAAUUUCACGUGUAGCGGUGAAAUGCGUAGAUAUCUGAAGGAACACCAGUGGCGAAGGCGACUCCCUGGACUCAAACUGACGCUGAGGUACGAAAGCGUGGGUAGCAAACAGGAUUAGAUACCCUGGUAGUCCACGCUGUAAACGAUGUCAACUAGCCGUUGGUCCUAUUUACAGGAUUAGUGGCCGCAGCUAACGCAUUAAGUUGACCGCCUGGGGAGUACGGUCGCAAGGUUAAAAUUCAAAUGAAUUGACGGGGGWCCGCMCAGCGGUGGAGCAUGKGAUUUAACUUCGAUGCAACGCGAGAUCCUUACUACYCUUGACAUCAGAUAUCUGUUAGARAUAGUARAGUGCUUCGGAACUCUGAAACGUGCUGCAUGCUKUCGUCMGCCUCGGUUCUUGAAAKUUGGUAAGUUCCGUUACGAGCAACUAUCCUAAUGGCCMCCGGUCAGCUGGACYUAGGGAAACUKCSGGGUGWWAUAAAACG